CUCUUAUCCAGAGAAGGCUGAGGGACUGGCCCUAUGAAGCCCGGCAACCUAGUACGCAGCAUUACCGGCGUACCAAGGUGCUAAUUCCUACAGGUAGCGCGCUACCUGACAGAUAAGAG
rnacentral:ncRNA from 2 species